CAGUAGCCGCGGUAAUACGGAGGGUGCAAGCGUUAUUCGGAAUUACUGGGCGUAAAGCGCACGCAGGCGGUUGCCCAAGUCAGAUGUGAAAGCCCCGGGCUUAACCUGGGAACUGCAUUUGAAACUGGGCGACUAGAGUAUGAAAGAGGAAAGCGGAAUUUCCAGUGUAGCAGUGAAAUGCGUAGAUAUUGGAAGGAACACCGAUGGCGAAGGCAGCUUUCUGGGUCGAUACUGACGCUCAUGUGCGAAAGCGUGGGGAGCAAACAGGAUUAGAUACCCCCGUAGUCCCUGUCUCUUAUAC
rnacentral:rRNA from 1 species